rnacentral:misc_RNA from 1 species
GAUGAAGAACGUAGCGAAAUGCGAAAAGUAAUGUGAAUUGCAGAAUUCAGUGAACCAUCGAAUCUUUGAACGCACAUUGCGCCCGCUGGAACUCCGGCGGGCACGCCUGUCCGAGCGUCAUUUCAACCCCCAGGCCCCCCUUCGCGGGCGGGCCUGGUGUUGGGGCCCGGCCGCUACCCUGCGGCCGUCCCCUAAAUUCAGUGGCGGCCUCGCCGUGAUCCCUUGCGUAGUAAUGCACCUCGCACCGGAGAGCGCCGUGGCCACGCCGUAAAACCCCCAAUUUUCAAUGGUUGACCUCGGAUCAGGUGGGAAUACCCGCUGAACUUAAGCAUAUCAAUAAGCGGAGGA